rnacentral:misc_RNA from 1 species
AAGUCGUAACAAGGUUUCCGUAGGUGCACCUGCGGAAGGAUCAAAACAGCAAUCCCGAGUAAAUGAGGCGCUAAAGAAUUACAGAUUUUGAUUUUGGGAAGUUCUGUGUGUACGUGGACGCUGCAAUUGAGCGCUAGAUAACGCACCCUGGUACCAUAGAGCACUCCCCUGUCGGAAAGCGGCAGGGAUCAAUGUUCAGGGUGGCGCAGUCCACGAUGGCUGUAGGUCCACACGACCGGCGACCGGGAUCGAGGCGAAAGCCCUACGUCAUCCCUAUGUACCCUCCGGGACUUGGCGAAAGCUGACUCCGUCAUAAAUCGAACAACUGUUAACAAUGGAUGUCUUC